UACGUAGGGUGCAAGCGUUGUCCGGAAUUAUUGGGCGUAAAGCGCGCGCAGGCGGCCUGUUAAGUCUGAUGUGAAAGCCCCCGGCUCAACCGGGGAAGGUCAUUGGAAACUGAUAGGCUUGAGUACAGAAGAGGAAAGCGGAAUUCCACGUGUAGCGGUGAAAUGCGUUGAUAUGUGUAGGAACACCAAUGGCGAAGGCAAUCUUCUGGACGAAUACUGACGCUGAUACACGAAAGCCAAGGUAGCAAGCAGG
rnacentral:rRNA from 1 species